GUUGGGCACAGUGGCAUGUGCCUGUAACUCCAGCUACUUGGGAGGCUGAGGCAGGAAGAUCUCUUGAGCCAAGGAGCUUGAGGUCAGCCUGGGCAACAUAACAAGAUCUCACUUCAA
rnacentral:sRNA from 1 species